rnacentral:rRNA from 1 species
GACGAACGCUGGCGGCGUGCUUAAUACAUGCAAGUCGAGCGGUGAACCUAGCCGAAAGCCUUCGGGCUUGAAGCUGGGGGAUCAGCGGCGGAUGGGUGAGUAACGCGUGGGUACCUGCCCUAAAGUUCGGGAUAACAGCCCGAAAGGGUUGCUAAUACCGGAUGUGACCGAAAGGUUAAAGGUAGCAAUAUCGCUUUAGGAUGGGCCCGCGUCCCAUUAGCUAGUUGGUGGGGUAAUGGCCUACCAAGGCUACGAUGGGUAGCCGGCCUGAGAGGGUGGACGGCCACACUGGGACUGAGACACGGCCCAGACUCCUACGGGAGGCAGCAGUAGGGAAUCUUCCGCAAUGGACGAAAGUCUGACGGAGCGACGCCGCGUGGGGGGAAGAAGGCCUUCGGGUUGUAAACCGUCUGUCCUCAGGGACGAAGAGGGUGUAGCGAUGCACCGAACGACGGUACCGUGAGGAGGAAGCCCGGCUAACUACGUG